rnacentral:siRNA from 1 species
GUUGCGGGAGUUUGCGGAAACGGG